GGUUAAGCGACUAAGCGUACACGGUGGAUGCCCUGGCAGUCAGAGGCGAUGAAGGACGUGCUAAUCUGCGAUAAGCGUCGGUAAGGUGAUAUGAACCGUUAUAACCGGCGAUUUCCGAAUGGGGAAACCCAGUGUGUUUCGACACACUAUCAUUAACUGAAUCCAUAGGUUAAUGAGGCGAACCGGGGGAACUGAAACAUCUAAGUACCCCGAGGAAAAGAAAUCAACCGAGAUUCCCCCAGUAGCGGCGAGCGAACGGGGAGGAGCCCAGAGCCUGAAUCAGUGUGUGUGUUAGUGGAAGCGUCUGGAAAGGCGCGCGAUACAGGGUGACAGCCCCGUACACAAAAAUGCACAUGCUGUGAGCUCGAUGAGUAGGGCGGGACACGUGGUAUCCUGUCUGAAUAUGGGGGGACCAUCCUCCAAGGCUAAAUACUCCUGACUGACCGAUAGUGAACCAGUACCGUGAGGGAAAGGCGAAAAGAACCCCGGCGAGGGGAGUGAAAAAGAACCUGAAACCGUGUACGUACAAGCAGUGGGAGCCUCUUUUAUGGGGUGACUGCGUACCUUUUGUAUAAUGGGUCAGCGACUUAUAUUCUGUAGCAAGGUUAACCGAAUAGGGGAGCCGAAGGGAAACCGAGUCUUAACUGGGCGUUAAGUUGCAGGGUAUAGACCCGAAACCCGGUGAUCUAGCCAUGGGCAGGUUGAAGGUUGGGUAACACUAACUGGAGGACCGAACCGACUAAUGUUGAAAAAUUAGCGGAUGACUUGUGGCUGGGGGUGAAAGGCCAAUCAAACCGGGAGAUAGCUGGUUCUCCCCGAAAGCUAUUUAGGUAGCGCCUCGUGAAUUCAUCUCCGGGGGUAGAGCACUGUUUCGGCAAGGGGGUCAUCCCGACUUACCAACCCGAUGCAAACUGCGAAUACCGGAGAAUGUUAUCACGGGAGACACACGGCGGGUGCUAACGUCCGUCGUGAAGAGGGAAACAACCCAGACCGCCAGCUAAGGUCCCAAAGUCAUGGUUAAGUGGGAAACGAUGUGGGAAGGCCCAGACAGCCAGGAUGUUGGCUUAGAAGCAGCCAUCAUUUAAAGAAAGCGUAAUAGCUCACUGGUCGAGUCGGCCUGCGCGGAAGAUGUAACGGGGCUAAACCAUGCACCGAAGCUGCGGCAGCGACACUAUGUGUUGUUGGGUAGGGGAGCGUUCUGUAAGCCUGUGAAGGUGUGCUGUGAGGCAUGCUGGAGGUAUCAGAAGUGCGAAUGCUGACAUAAGUAACGAUAAAGCGGGUGAAAAGCCCGCUCGCCGGAAGACCAAGGGUUCCUGUCCAACGUUAAUCGGGGCAGGGUGAGUCGACCCCUAAGGCGAGGCCGAAAGGCGUAGUCGAUGGGAAACAGGUUAAUAUUCCUGUACUUGGUGUUACUGCGAAGGGGGGACGGAGAAGGCUAUGUUGGCCGGGCGACGGUUGUCCCGGUUUAAGCGUGUAGGCUGGUUUUCCAGGCAAAUCCGGAAAAUCAAGGCUGAGGCGUGAUGACGAGGCACUACGGUGCUGAAGCAACAAAUGCCCUGCUUCCAGGAAAAGCCUCUAAGCAUCAGGUAACAUCAAAUCGUACCCCAAACCGACACAGGUGGUCAGGUAGAGAAUACCAAGGCGCUUGAGAGAACUCGGGUGAAGGAACUAGGCAAAAUGGUGCCGUAACUUCGGGAGAAGGCACGCUGAUAUGUAGGUGAAGUCCCUCGCGGAUGGAGCUGAAAUCAGUCGAAGAUACCAGCUGGCUGCAACUGUUUAUUAAAAACACAGCACUGUGCAAACACGAAAGUGGACGUAUACGGUGUGACGCCUGCCCGGUGCCGGAAGGUUAAUUGAUGGGGUCAGCGCAAGCGAAGCUCUUGAUCGAAGCCCCGGUAAACGGCGGCCGUAACUAUAACGGUCCUAAGGUAGCGAAAUUCCUUGUCGGGUAAGUUCCGACCUGCACGAAUGGCGUAAUGAUGGCCAGGCUGUCUCCACCCGAGACUCAGUGAAAUUGAACUCGCUGUGAAGAUGCAGUGUACCCGCGGCAAGACGGAAAGACCCCGUGAACCUUUACUAUAGCUUGACACUGAACAUUGAGCCUUGAUGUGUAGGAUAGGUGGGAGGCUUUGAAGUGUGGACGCCAGUCUGCAUGGAGCCGACCUUGAAAUACCACCCUUUAAUGUUUGAUGUUCUAACGUGGACCCGUGAUCCGGGUUGCGGACAGUGUCUGGUGGGUAGUUUGACUGGGGCGGUCUCCUCCUAAAGAGUAACGGAGGAGCACGAAGGUUGGCUAAUCCUGGUCGGACAUCAGGAGGUUAGUGCAAUGGCAUAAGCCAGCUUGACUGCGAGCGUGACGGCGCGAGCAGGUGCGAAAGCAGGUCAUAGUGAUCCGGUGGUUCUGAAUGGAAGGGCCAUCGCUCAACGGAUAAAAGGUACUCCGGGGAUAACAGGCUGAUACCGCCCAAGAGUUCAUAUCGACGGCGGUGUUUGGCACCUCGAUGUCGGCUCAUCACAUCCUGGGGCUGAAGUAGGUCCCAAGGGUAUGGCUGUUCGCCAUUUAAAGUGGUACGCGAGCUGGGUUUAGAACGUCGUGAGACAGUUCGGUCCCUAUCUGCCGUGGGCGCUGGAGAACUGAGGGGGGCUGCUCCUAGUACGAGAGGACCGGAGUGGACGCAUCACUGGUGUUCGGGUUGUCAUGCCAAUGGCACUGCCCGGUAGCUAAAUGCGGAAGAGAUAAGUGCUGAAAGCAUCUAAGCACGAAACUUGCCCCGAGAUGAGUUCUCCCUGACCCUUUAAGGGUCCUGAAGGAACGUUGAAGACGACGACGUUGAUAGGCCGGGUGUGUAAGCGCAGCGAUGCGUUGAGCUAACCGGUACUAAUGAACCGUGAGGCUUAACCUU
rnacentral:rRNA from 1 species